UACGUAGGGACCGAGCGUUGUCCGGAUUCAUUGGGCGUAAAGAGCUCGUAGGCGGCCACUCAAGUCGAAUGUGAAACCUCGAGGCUUAACCUCGAGCCUGCAUUCGAUACUGGGCGGCUAGAGUCUGGUAGGGGGAUCUGGAAUUCCUGGUGUAGCGGUGGAAUGCGCAGAUAUCAGGAGGAACACCGGUGGCGAAGGCGGUCUGCGUGGGCAGUAGCUGACACUGAGGCGCGACAGCGUGGGGAGCAAACAGG
rnacentral:rRNA from 1 species